rnacentral:rRNA from 1 species
GAGAAGACUUGAGUAGGGCGGGACACGUGCAAUCCUGUCUGAAUACGGGGAGACCACUCUCCAAGCCUAAGUACUCCUCAGCGACCAAUAGCGAACAAGUACCGUGAGGGAAUGGUGAAAAGAACCCCGGCGAGGGGAGUGAAAAGAACCUGAAACCGUACGCUUACAUGCAGUCGAAGCCCUAGGCCGCAAGGCAGGGUGACGGCGUGUCUUUUGGAGUAUGACCCGGCGAGUUACCCGUAGUAGUAGGUUAAGUCAGUGAUAGACGGAGCCAGAGCGAAAGCGAGUCUGAAGAGGGCGGCGAUUGCUACGGGUAGGCCCGAAACCGCUUGAGCUACCCAUGGUCAGGGUGAAGCGUGAGUAAGAUCACGUGGAGGCCCGAACCGGUGCGGAUUACAAACCACUCGGAUGAACUGUGGGUAGGGGUGAAAUGCCAAUCGAAAGCGGAGAUAGCUGGUUCUCCCCGAAAUGCAUUGAGGUGCAGCCCGGGCUAGAGCGUUGUACGAGGUAGAGCACUGUUGUUGUGCGGGGGUUUCACCGCCUACCAAGCGACGGCAAACUGCGAAUGCGUGCAAGGUAUACCCGGAGUGAGACAGUUGGCGCAAACGUUGAUUGUCGAGAGGGAAACAACCCAGAUCCGCUGCUAAGGUCCCAAAAUGAACGCUCAGUGGGAAAGGAUGUGUCGUUGCAGAGACAGCCAGGAGGUUGGCUUAGAAGCAGCCACCCUUGAAAGAGUGCGUAACAGCUCACUGGUCGAGUGACGAUGCGCCGACAAUCCAACGGGGCAAAGCGUUCUACCGAAGCACGGAACAGAGAAAUCUGUGGUAGGGGAGCGUCGUACAUGCGGUGAAGCGUCAGCGGAAGCCAGGCGUGGAGCGUGUACGAGUGCGAAUGCCGGAACGAGUAACAGAGAAGGGGAGUGCAAACCUCCCCCGCCGAAAGUCUAAGGGUUCCGCCGCAAGGGUGAUCCGCGGCGGGUUAGUCGGGCCUAAGGGAAGCGCUAACGCGCGAGCCGAUGGAGAACAGGUAGACAUUCCUGUACUAUGUACGACUGUUUGACUGACGUGGGAUGCUGAGGGGUAGACGCAGCGGUCAGACGAGGACCGUUUAAGCUUGUAGGGAGGCACCGGGGUAAAAGACGGUGCUGUUGACUGAGGAGCGAAUACGAGUGGGGAAGCAAUUCCACCGCGAGUGCGUUACGCCUGUGCAGACGAGAAAUGCCCACUAGGGAGGGAGUACAUAUCCGUACCGCAAACCGACACAGGUAGAUAGGCUGAGGAAGCUAAGGCGGACGAGUGAUCCCUGGUUAAGGAACUCGGCAAUUUGACCCCGUACCUUCGGUAGAAGGGGUGCUCUUGGAGGUGAAGGCUGCACAGCCGGAGCGUCCGAGAGUUGCAACAAAGAGGCCCAGGCGACUGGAUAACAGAACCACAGGUCCGUGCUGAAGUCGUAAGACGACGUAUACGGGCUGAUGCCUGCCCAGUGCCGGAAGGUUAAAGGGAGAGGUGCAAGCUUUGAACUGAAGCCCCGGUGAACGGCGGCAGUAACUAUAACUGUCCUAAGGUAGCGAAAUUCCUUGUCGGGUAAGUUCCGACCCGCACGAAAGGCAUCACGAUCUGGGCAGUGUCUCGACCAGGGGCUCGGUGAAACUGCGAUAGCCGUUAGGACGCGGCUAACUCAUAGCAGGACAAAAAGACCCCGUGGAGCUUUACUACAACUUGUCAUUGUAAGCGGCCACUCGCUGCGUAGGAUAGGUGGGAGCCGGAGAGACGCGCCUUGCGGGGUGCGAGGAGGCAACAGUGAAAUACCACUCUGCGAUUGGUUGCUUACUCACCAGUGAAUGCUGGGACCGUGACUGGCGGGUAGUUUGUCUGGGGCGGACGACGCCCAAAGACUAAAAGAGGCGCGCAAUGGUUCCCUCAGGUGGAAUCUAUCGUGACUGGGAAAC